rnacentral:rRNA from 1 species
CAAUAGCGUAUAUUAAAGUUGUUGCAGUUAGAACGCUCGUAGUUGGAUUUCGGGUGGGAAUGGCCGGUCCGCCGUUUCGGUGUGCACUUGCUACGCCCACCUUGCUGCCGGGGACGUGCUCUUGAGUUCACGCUCGGGACACGGAGUCGGCGAGGUUACUUUGAGUAAAUUAGAGUGUUCAAAGCAGGCCUACGCUCUGAAUACAUUAGCAUGGAAUAACACGAUAGGACUCUGGCCUAUCUUGUUGGUCUGUAGGACCGGAGUAAUGAUUAAGAGGGACAGUCGGGGGCAUUCGUAUUUCAUUGUCAGAGGUGAAAUUCUUGGAUUUAUGAAAGACGAACUACUGCGAAAGCAUUUGCCAAGGAUGUUUUCAUUAA